rnacentral:rRNA from 1 species
CCUACGGGCGGCUGCAGUGGGGAAUAUUGCACAAUGGGCGCAAGCCUGAUGCAGCCAUGCCGCGUGUGUGAAGAAGGCCUUCGGGUUGUAAAGCACUUUCAGCGGGGAGGAAGGCGGUGAGGUUAAUAACCUCAUCGAUUGGCGUUACCCGCAGAAGAAGCACCGGCUAACUCCGUGCCAGCAGCCGCGGUAAUAUGGAGGGUGCAAGCGUUAAUCGGAAUUACUGGGCGUAAAGCGCACGCAGGCGGUCUGUCAAGUCGGAUGUGAAAUCCCCGGGCUCAACCUGGGAACUGCAUUCGAAACUGGCAGGCUAGAGUCUUGUAGAGGGGGGUAGAAUUCCAGGUGUAGCGGUGAAAUGCGUAGAGAUCUGGAGGAAUACCGGUGGCGAAGGCGGCCCCCUGGACAAAGACUGACGCUCAGGUGCGAAAGCGUGGGGAGCAAACAGGAUUAGAUACCCCUGUAGUC